rnacentral:rRNA from 1 species
UACGUAGGGGGCAAGCGUUGUCCGGAUUUAUUGGGCGUAAAGAGCGUGUAGGCGGCUUGGAAGGUCAGCUGUGAAAACUCGAGGCUCAACCUCGAGACGUCGGUUGAAACCACCUGGCUAGAGUCCGGAAGAGGAGUGUGGAAUUCCUGGUGUAGCGGUGAAAUGCGCAGAUAUCAGGAAGAACACCCGUGGCGAAGGCGGCUCUCUGGGACGGUACUGACGCUGAGACGCGAAAGCGUGGGGAGCGAACAGG